GUGAACUAAAAGUGCAUUUACGACUGUGGCUCUACCUGCCCACGUGUGUGGGCAUUACAGUACUUUAAUCAGCCUUUUUUGUAUAGUGCACUCAAGUGGUGGCGUAUCAGAAUCUUGCUCAUACUUCACAGUUUCACAGUAACAUGAAGCAAAACAAAACAAAACAAAACAGACGUGAAAAAAAACUCACUAAGUCAAGUGUAUGCGGCUGCAGUGGAAGGUAAACAUCUCAGCGGGUGAGGAAGUCACACUUUUCUCCUGGAUCAACAGACUCGACUCAACAAGUUGCCAUGGCCUGGCUCCGCGAGUAGUCAUUACAGCAACGAAGGCAAUGCUCUGUCAUGGCCCAGCAGUGGUCGGGAACAGGAACUUCUUUAGACAGCAAACUGGUUGACUAGUAGCUGAUCACACCACAUCCAUAUCACAAGAUGACAAGGCAAGAAGCGUGCCUCAGAGUGUUGCGCAAAACCGCCCGAGAUAUCGAGCCAUCGAUCGAAUGCAUUCAUCGGCCGUCCGUCGAUGUAGAGGACUACAGGCAUGGCCUCUCGGCGAUCCAUCGUACCGCCGUAACCGACAGGAUCACCGGCUACAAACCCAACAUCUACCUGCCUCCAGUAGCCAAAUCCGAAAGACAACUCCCUCGGCCCGUGAGAUCGAUGCUAUCGCAACUCCAUUCGCGGUGGUGUCACAAGCUCAACAACAACAUCGUCAAUAAAUGCCCAUUGAGUAACAUCUCCCCCCAUGAUAUGCAUCAUCUUUUCAAAUGUGCUCAAAAACCGACCACAGUGACGGUGGAAUACCUGUGGAGCGCCUCGACCAAUGUGGCUCACUUUCUGGACCUUGAUACGGAAUAACGACCGUCGUACUUGGCUACAACAACAACUAGCAACAACGUUGCCUCAAUAUAAUUCUUCUUCUUCGUGAUAAACCUGAUUAUCAUGUACAUAAUUGUGCAGAGAGUUAUUAAGUUAACAACAGAUUUCACCCCCUGGCUCAAGUAAAAUAGUUUUAUGUUUGCAUAUUUUUAUGAUGUGCAAAUGUUCAGUCUUCCUAUUUGAAAAAUAAAAGAUAGCAACGUGCUUGCUAGUUCUCCCCUUGUAUCUCUGCUUCUCAGUCACCCAAAUCUUGCUAAUCCACAAAGGUCAGAUUGUUUACGUGUUUCCAACUGAAUUAUUCCAAAGUCAAACGAAAGCAAUUGGUCAUGACAGCUCUUUCCACAGAUGUUGAAUAGCAUUUGAGUCAAAGCUCAUAAAAGGCUACUUCAGAUGCCAUGGAAGACAACGUUUUUGUUCUGAGCAAUUCCUUGCUGUUUUUAGCUGCGUAUUUUGGGUUAGGGUUUUUUUCUGUCAUUGGUCAUCAUAUUAUAUUCCCAACUUCCUUGAGAUUUUCUCU